rnacentral:rRNA from 1 species
UGAGCGGCGGACGGGUGAGUAACACGUAAAGAACCUGCCCAUAGGUCUGGGAUAACCACGAGAAAUCGGGGCUAAUACCGGAUGUGUCAUCGGACCGCAUGGUCCGCUGAUGAAAGGCGCUUCGGCGUCGCCCAUGGAUGGCUUUGCGGUGCAUUAGCUAGUUGGUGGGGUAACGGCCCACCAAGGCGACGAUGCAUAGCCGACCUGAGAGGGUGAUCGGCCACACUGGGACUGAGACACGGCCCAG